AUUGAACGCUGGCGGCGUGCUUAACACAUGCAAGUCGAGCGGCAGCGCGGGAGCAAUCCUGGCGGCGAGCGGCGAACGGGUGAGUAAUGCUUCGGAAUCUGCCCUUCAGUGGGGAAUAACCAGUCGAAAGACUGGCUAAUACCGCAUACGAACUGAGGUUGAAAGCAGGGGAUCGCAAGACCUUGCGCUGAUGGAUGAGCCGAAGUCGGAUUAGCUUGUUGGUGGGGUAAUGGCCUACCAAGGCGACGAUCCGUAGCUGGUCUGAGAGGACGACCAGCCACACUGGGACUGAGACACGGCCCAGACUCCUACGGGAGGCAGCAGUGGGGGAAUAUUGGACAAUGGGGGCAACCCUGAUCCAGCGACGCCGCGUGUGUGAAGAAGGCCUGCGGGUUGUAAAGCACUUUUAGGUGGGGAGGAAGGUCUGCGACCUAACACGUCGUGGAAUUGACUUAACCCACAAGAAAAAGCACCGGCUAACUCUGUGCC
rnacentral:rRNA from 1 species